rnacentral:rRNA from 1 species
CACGUAGGGUGCGAACGUUAUCCGGAUUUAUUGGGCGUAAAGAGCGUGUAGGCGGCCAGACAGGUCCGUUGUGAAAACUCGAGGCUCAACCUCGAGAUGUCGAUGGAAACUGUCUGGCUAGAGUCCGGAAGAGGAGUGUGGAAUUCCUGGUGUAGCGGUGAAAUGCGCAGAUAUCAGGAAGAACACCUAUGGCGAAGGCAGCACUCUGGGACGGUACUGACGCUGAGACGCGAAAGCGUGGGGAGCGAACAGG